rfam:Lasallia pustulata genome assembly, contig: scaffold10555_size2086
GACCCAGUCGUCAAGUUGGUUAAGACAUAACAUUUUCACUGUUAAAACAAGAGUUCAAAUCUCUUCUGGGUUA